rnacentral:rRNA from 1 species
CCUACGGGAGGCAGCAGUGGGGAAUAUUGCACAAUGGGCGAAAGCCUGAUGCAGCGACGCCGCGUGAGGGAUGACGGCCUUCGGGUUGUAAACCUCUUUUCAGCAGGGAAGAAGCGAAAGUGACGGUACCUGCAGAAGAAGCGCCGGCUAACUACGUGCCAGCAGCCGCGGUAAUACGUAGGGCGCAAGCGUUGUCCGGAAUUAUUGGGCGUAAAGAGCUCGUAGGCGGCUUGUCACGUCGGAUGUGAAAGCCCGAGGCUUAACCUCGGGUCUGCAUUCGAUACGGGCUAGCUAGAGUGUGGUAGGGGAGAUCGGAAUUCCUGGUGUAGCGGUGAAAUGCGCAGAUAUCAGGAGGAACACCGGUGGCGAAGGCGGAUCUCUGGGCCAUUACUGACGCUGAGGAGCGAAAGCGUGGGGAGCGAACAGGAUUAGAUACCCUGGUAGUCCACGCCGUAAACGUUGGGAACUAGGGUGUUGGCGACAUUCCACGUCGUCGGUGCCGCAGCUAACGCAUUAAGUUCCCCGCCUGGGGAUACGGCGCAAGGCAAAACUCAAAGGAAUUGACGGCUGGAGACGNGCCGACGGACGACGACGAGGGAGAGG